AAGCUCAGAGGCAGAGACAGGCUGUUGGCACCACUGGGCAGCUGGGGUGCUCAGGCUCUAGGGAGGGGAAACCUGAGCUGUGAGAGAGACCAUCAGAGGACCAGGGGAGCCAUCACUCAUGCCUCGCUUGUUCCAUUCGGGAAUUACUUCUUGCCUAUGAACUCCUAAAGAUCCUCCAGACUACUAGGCCCACCUGUGUGCUCUCGAGCAGUUUUCUGGAGUUGAAAUUAUCUCCGUUAGCCAACCGUAUCACAUGAACAGCAUCAGCAGCCACAGCAUCAGGAGGUUUGAUUCCUGGAACAGGAAAGACAGAGAACAAAGUGAAGUUCUGCGAUAUGGCUGUCACAACCGGGUGGGGAGGAUGGGGAGAUGGGGAAGGGGUAGAGACGGACAAGGAAUCAGGCAAGCAUCGACACCAGUAAAAUUCCAAGUACUUAUUAAGGUUGGUAUAGCACUAAGCUUCUUUCUUCAAUUAUAUGAUACAGAAUUAUCACAGGGUGUAUUACUAUAGGGUUGAAACAAUGAGGUUGCAUCACUGGCUCAAUCCCUCACUCCUCUCUGACUGAGCUGAGCUAUCCUCUUUCCAUUUUUAAAACCAGAGGUCAGAACUUUCAAGGUAUUUAUCAACCUCUCCUAUUCGCUGUCAAUGAUGAGUCAGCCAGAAAAAGCAGGAAGUGGCAAAUACUUUUCUGCCUGUAAUUCUAGAGAAUACUGUGGUUACUGACAGCAACUUAGAAAUAGCACUUUUUUUUUUAAUCUCCCAGAAUGCUUUACAUCUGGUUGUUUAUGGGCAGGGUCCAAUAGACUGAGAGGAGGUAGCUAGACUUGUGUGUGAGGGCAAAACCACUUUCGAAAGUUGUUUAUGCUCUGGUUCCUGACGUCUAUAGUAAUCAGGUGCACCAGCUACAGACUAUGCUGGUCAGUGUAGAAAAAGCCAGAAAUUAAUAGAUCACUGCAAUCAUUUGUUAAUGUCUAGGUAAUCCUGGAUGUAACCUAGUCAUUUAUAUCAAAUCACAACAUUAAUUUCUUCAGUUCACCCUGGGUUCUGGCUAUUGGUGAAGGUACUAUGGUAGUCACUGUCUAUAGUGCCCUAUGCCCUGAUGACAUCUUCCCAAAAGGCUAGAAUACUAGUGAUUUCCUGGCUGAAGCCCAGACUCAAAGAAAACACACAAUAGCAAGGCAGUCAUGGCUCAACAGUGUGAUGAAAACCCCAGCAUGCAAGAAAGAACAAAAUAGUAAAUAAGAAAGGAUUAAAAAAUAUAAUCAUCAUUACUGAAAUAAGGAUAAUGAAUUUAAUGAUUAUAAGUUCUAAAAUCAUAAUUUUAGGGGUGCCUGGGUGGCUCAGUCAGUUAAGCAUAGGUCUUCAGCUCAGGUCACAAUCUCACAGCUUGUGAGUUC